AAUCAACAAAAUUUUCAUAAAUUGAAAUAAAAAAUUUGUAUACACAAAUAUGAAUAAAAAUUGCAUGCCAGGUCUAUUGCUAUUAAAAUUAAAAAAAAAUGAAUUUAACAAACGAAACAUACUCUCAAAACAUCUCGAUGUUCCAAUGCGGUCCAGGCUUGGACCAUUUUCAUCAGGAGUAUGUGAAAAUGCACGGAUGGUUAAGUUUGCUAGUUUGCAUCUUCGGUUCAAUCGCCAAUACCUUGAAUAUAAUGGUCUUGACACGUCGUGAAAUGAUUUCUCCGACAAAUUACAUUCUAACUGGAUUGGCUGUAGCCGACUUGCUAGUAAUGUUGGAGUACAUCCCUUACGCAAGUCAUAUGUACUUGUACCACAGGCCCAGAAAAGACAUGUACACGUACGGUUGGGCUGUAUUUGUGCUAGUUCAUUCUAUUUUCACCCAAAUAUUUCACACAAUAUCCAUCGGGCUGACAGUAACAUUGGCAAUUUGGAGAUUCAUUGCAGUAGCUUACCCUCGGAGAAAUAACGAAUGGUGUAGCAUUAAAAGAACAGUAUUAACUAUAUUAGGAACUUAUUUAAUUUGCCCGUUAAUUUGUCUCCCGGUUUAUUUUACUACUAAAGUCAGAUCCACUCAAGAGUUGUUCGAAAAUGAUAAUUUAACCAAUUCAAGUUUGUACAAUUCGACUGAAUUAAAAGUUAAUCAGACUUUGUGGUUCGUUGACUUGAGUGACACGAUGAAGGCCAAUAGUCUGCUUAAUUUACUAAAUUUUUGCAUGUACAGUGUUGUGAUCAAACUUAUACCUUGUAUCGCUCUGACCAUUUUGAGUCUUCGGCUGAUCAAGGCGCUUAUGGAUACCAAAAAAAGAAGAAAGCUCCUGAUAAACGCGACUUUAGUGAGAAAAACUGACGACAAAGUGCGCGAUAGCUCGUGUGACGUUAAAAAAAGUAAAAAAAAAUCAGCUAAAGCUAUAGACAAACAAAGACAAACUGACAGAACUACCAAGAUGCUAUUAGCUGUAUUACUUCUCUUUUUACUUACGGAGUUUCCACAGGGAGUACUUGGCUUACUUAGCGUUAUAUUGGGUUCUGGUUUUUUUCGUACAUGUUAUGUUAAGCUCGGCGAAAUGAUGGACGUAUUAGCUCUAAUAAAUUCAGCGAUAAACUUUAUCCUCUACUGUGCAAUGAGUCGUCAAUUUCGAAUGACCUUUAGCCAAUUAUUCUGCCGAUGGAAGUUGUUUGGAAGAUGGACGCCUGUUCCGCAGCGGCUGGAGAACAAUGGUCACACCGCAACUACUCACACGAUGACCCAAGUUACCCAGAACGUGGAAACGUCGAACACCCAAAGAGGGGCAAUGAGGUCGACUUAAAAUGUAGUGAAUAAUUGAUCAGCACUUAGAUUGGUAGGAGAAAUUUUUUUCCCCCGACGGAAAUGACUAAAGUGCUCAGAAGAAACUCGUACUGAGAAGAAAUCCUUUACUUCUAUACCUAUCGUUGAGUGACUUCGUCAGCGAAUGUUGAAAGACACUCAUGGGAGUUAUUUAGGGAACAAAUGGAUCGGGCUCCCCUACAUGUUCUUGUCACAGAACUUGACGUAAGAAAAAAAUAUAAUAUACGUGUAGUCAUUUGAUGUCUUUAUUUUCAUUAAUUUUGCUUUUUAUUUUUUUUUUGUU
rnacentral:misc_RNA from 1 species